rnacentral:rRNA from 1 species
AUGAACGCUGGCGGCGUGCCUAAUACCUGCAAGUCGAGCGAACAGACGAGGAUCUUUCUCCUCUGACGUUAGCGGCGGACGGGUGAGUAACACGUGGAUAACCUACCUAUAAGACUGGGAUAACUUCUGGAAACCGGAGCUAAUACCGGCUUAUAUACUGUACCGCCUGGUUCAAUAGUGAAAGGCUGUUUUGCUAUCACUUAUAGAUGGAUCCGCGCCGCAUUAGCUAGUUGGUAAGGUAACGGCUUACCAAGGCAACGAUGCGUAGCCGACCUGAGAGGGUGAUCGGCCACACUGGAACUGAGACACGGUCAAGACUCCUACGGGAGGCAGCAGUAGGGAAUCUUCCGCAAUGGGCGAAAGCCUGACGGAGAAACGCCGCGUGAGUGAUGAAGGUCUUCGGAUCGUAAAACUCGGUUAUUAGGGAAGAACAAAUGUGUAAGUAACUAUGCACGUAUUGACGGUACCUAAUCAGAAAGCCACGGCUAACUACGUG